CUAGUGUUUCAGGAAGGGCAGAUUUAGGGUAGAUCAACCAUGGAAAUCAGCAUUGGCUCACAUGUCCAAGACCUAAUGAGAAUCUGGCAGAUACCCAAAAGCGGUUGAAUCUACUUGGCAAUGCAUUCUGGUCUCCAUUUCUGCACUUUUCAUGGGAAUCUGAAGGGGAGGAGGUGGCCGGUGGCUACUGCAUUAGACAGGAG
rnacentral:lncRNA from 1 species